rnacentral:SRP_RNA from 15 species
AACCCUUCAGGUCUGGCAGGCAGCAACGGAA